rnacentral:rRNA from 1 species
CCUACGGGGGGCUGCAGUAAGGAAUCUUCCGCAAUGGGCGCAAGCCUGACGGAGCAAUGCCGCGUGUGGGAUGAAGCGUCUCUGACGUGUAAACCACUGUCAGGGGUUGGAACCAAUGAUCGACCCCAGAGGAAGUGGCGACUAACUCUGUGCCAGCAGUCGCGGUAAUACAGAGGCCACAAGCGUUAGUCGGAAUCACUGGGCUUAAAGGGUGCGUAGGUGGGCCUGUAAGUGUUCUGUGAAAGCCCUCAGCUCAACUGAGGAACAGCAGGGCAUACUACAGGCCUCGAGGCAAGUAUGGGUGGGCAGAACAGUAGGUGGAGCGGUGAAAUGCGUAGAUAUCUACUGGAAUGCCGAUGGUGAAGACGGCCCACUGGGCUUGUCCUGACACUGAGGCACGAAAGCGUGGGGAGCAAACAGGAUUAGAUACCCCGGUAGUC